rnacentral:rRNA from 1 species
CACGUAGGGGGCGAGCGUUGUCCGGAAUCAUUGGGCGUAAAGCGCACGUAGGCGGCGCAGUAAGUCGGACGUGAAAUCCCUCGGCUCAACCGAGGACGUGCAUCCGAAACUACUGUGCUCGAGUAUGGAAGAGGGUCGCGGAAUUCUCGGUGUAGAGGUGAAAUUCGUAGAUAUCGGGAGGAACACCAGUGGCGAAGGCGGCGACCUGGGCCAAUACUGACGCUGAGGUGCGAAAGCGUGGGGAGCAAACAGG